rnacentral:rRNA from 1 species
GAACGCGAAGAACCUUACCAGGUCUUGACAUCCCUCUGACCGCUCUAGAGAUAGAGUUUUCCUUCGGGACAGAGGUGACAGGUGGUGCAUGGUUGUCGUCAGCUCGUGUCGUGAGAUGUUGGGUUAAGUCCCGCAACGAGCGCAACCCCUAUUGUUAGUUGCCAUCAUUUAGUUGGGCACUCUAGCGAGACUGCCGGUAAUAAACCGGAGGAAGGUGGGGAUGACGUCAAAUCAUCAUGCCCCUUAUGACCUGGGCUACACACGUGCUACAAUGGCUGGUACAACGAGUCGCAAGUCGGUGACGACAAGCUAAUCUCUUAAAGCCAGUCUCAGUUCGGAUUGUAGGCUGCAACUCGCCUACAUGAAGUCGGAAUCGCUAGUAAUCGCGGAUCAGCACGCCGCGGUGAAUACGUUCCCGGGUCUUGUACACACC